UUGACCUCGAAUCAGGUAGGAAUACCCGCUGAACUUAAGCAUAUCAAUAAGCGGAGGAAAAGAAACCAACAGGGAUUGCCCCAGUAACGGCGAGUGAAGCGGCAACAGCUCAAAUUUGAAAUCUGGCCCUCCGGGGCCCGAGUUGUAAUUUGCAGAGGAUGCUUUUGGCGAGGCGCCUUCCGAGUUCCCUGGAACGGGACGCCAUAGAGGGUGAGAGCCCCGUCUGGUCGGACGCCGAGCCUCUGUAAAGCUCCUUCGACGAGUCGAGUAGUUUGGGAAUGCUGCUCUAAAUGGGAGGUAUAUGUCUUCUAAAGCUAAAUACCGGCCAGAGACCGAUAGCGCACAAGUAGAGUGAUCGAAAGAUGAAAAGCACUUUGAAAAGAGGGUUAAACAGUACGUGAAAUUGUUGAAAGGGAAGCGCUUGUGACCAGACUUGGGCCCGGCGGAUCAUCCAGCGUUCUCGCUGGUGCACUCCGGCGGGCCCAGGCCAGCAUCAGCUCGUCCCGGGGGACAAAGGCGGCGGGAACGUGGCUCCUCCGGGAGUGUUAUAGCCCACCGCGCAAUGCCCUGGGGCGGGCUGAGGACCGCGCGUACGCAUGGAUGCUGGCGUAAUGGUCACCAGCGACCCGUCUUGAAACACGGACCAA
rnacentral:rRNA from 1 species